rnacentral:rRNA from 1 species
CCUCGCCCUUAAUGUUGUAUACUAGGUAUUGGAGGAGUCGACCGCUCCAGCGCCGCCGCUGAAACAUUAAGUACAUCAGCCUUGCGAGUGUGCUCGCAGGGGUGUAACUCAAUGUAAUUGACGGGGGGCCCGCACAAGCGGUGGAGCAUGUGGUUUAAUUUGAUGAUAUGUGAGGAACCUUACUUAGGUGGAAGUACCCUCUGACAUUUUUCUUUAUAUGUGCUUUAUUCGGACAGAGCGAGAGAGGCCGCAGGGCUGUCGUCAGCUCGUAUUGUGAAAUGUGGGUUUAAGUCACGCAACGAUUGCAACCCUUAUCCCUUGUUGCUACCAGGUUCAGCUGGGCACUCUAGGGAAACGGCCGGUGUAAGUCGGAGGAAAACGGGGAAUACGUCAAGUCAGCACGGCCCUUACGUCCAGGGCGACACACGUGCUACAAUGGCCGGUAUAAAGAGUUAGGAAUCCACGAGGUAGAGGUAAUCUCAAAAAACCGGUCUCAGUUCAGAUAGCAGUCUGCAACUCGACUUAUGAAGUCGGAAUUGCUAGUAAUUGCAGAUCAGCAUGAUGCGGUGAAUACGUUCCCGGGCCUUGUACACACCACCCGUCACCCCCCCCGAGCGAGAGCACCCGAAGUCAAGAGCUAACCCUAGGGGGGC